CAACUGUGUGAAUUAAUGUGAACUGCGUACUGCUUUGAACAUCGACAUCUUGAACGCAUAUUGCGGCCGCGGGAUAUCCCGUGGCCACGUCUGGCCGAGGGUCGGCU
rnacentral:rRNA from 3 species